GAUGAAGAACGUAGCGAAAUGCGAUAAGUAAUGUGAAUUGCAGAAUUCAGUGAAUCAUCGAAUCUUUGAACGCACAUUGCGUCCGCCAGUAUUCUGGCGGGCAUGCCUGUUCGAGCGUCAUUACAACCCUCAGGCCCCCGGGCCUGGCGUUGGGGAUCGGCGGAGCCCCCCGUGGGCACACGCCGUCCCCCAAAUGCAGUGGCGGUCCCGCCGCAGCUUCCAUCGCGUAGUAGCUAACACCUCGCGACUGGAGAGCGGCGCGGCCACGCCGUAAAACACCCAACUCUUCUGAAGUUGACCUCGAAUCAGGUAGGAAUACCCGCUGAACUUAAGCAUAUCAAUAAGCGGAGGA
rnacentral:misc_RNA from 1 species